UACGUAUGGUGCAAGCGUUAUCCGGAUUUACUGGGUGUAAAGGGAGCGCAGGCGGCGCGUUAAGUCUGAUGUGAAAACCCAGGGCUCAACCGGUACAGGCUCUGGAAACUGGCGGGCUAGAGAGCAGGAGAGGGCGGUGGAACUCCAUGUGUAGCGGUAAAAUGCGUAGAUAUAUGGAAGAACACCAGUGGCGAAGGCGGCCGCCUGGCCUGUUACUGACGCUGAGGCACGAAAGCGUGGGGAGCAAAUAGG
rnacentral:rRNA from 1 species